UAAACAGCAUGGACACUUAUUUGUCUGUUAUAGUGAGCUCUUGUUCUGCGGCUGAAUGCUGGUUUGCUGCUGAUAUACUGAAGAAAAACAGCAAGAAAUCUCUGAAUGACAUACACACCUGAACGACUAAUGGAUGGCAACACACACAUCUGGUGCAGGCAUGCAGAGCUGUCUUUUCAACCCGCCAGGCUCCUUUGUGUGGCCACAGAAGAGAGGCAGAUCCACUCAAGGUGAAUAGUGACCAAUCUAUACCUUCCACCAUUCGACCAGAGAUUUACCUGGCCAUGCCCAGACUGGAGAACCCUGCUGGAACAAUGAGAACGUCAAGGCGGGGAAAGGGAUGGACCCCCAGAACGGCAUGGGCUGCAGCCAGGCAUCGAGGCAACAGCUGAAGGACUGCCAUCUACAAGAGGAAAGCAUUAAACAGAACAGGGUUUUACUUGAAUCAGAUGUGUGCAUGGGUAAGAUUUACAUUUACAAUAGUUGGAGAGUUUAUGUAUCUGCUGAGAGUUUGUGUAUUUGCUGCAUGUCUAUGAUGGUUCUAUGGUCCAGAUCAAUUCCAAGUCAACUGCACUUUCUGUUUUUAUGCUACAAUGUGUUGCCUCUCAUCUUUGAGGCCCCAUAAAAUCCAAAUUAACUAAAUGUGCAGAAGCUUUUGACCUCAUAUGAUCAAUGUUAUUCCAUUUAGAGUUUCA